rnacentral:sRNA from 1 species
CUUUCCUUUCGCUGCUGCGGCCGCAGCCAUGAGUAUGCUCAGGCUUCAGAAGAGGCUCGCCUCUAGUGUCCUCCGCUGUGGUAAGAAGAAGGUCUGGUUAGACCCCAAUGAGACCAAUGAAAUCGCCAAUGCCAACUCCCGUCAGCAGAUCCGGAAGCUCAUCAAAGAUGGGCUGAUCAUCCGCAAGCCUGUGACGGUCCAUUCCCGGGCUCGAUGCCGGAAAAACACCUUGGCCCGCCGGAAGGGCAGGCACAUGGGCAUAGGUAAGUGUGGUCAUCUUCUCCUUAAGAAAUGAUAGGUGCUGGCGUCUAUGCUGAAAUAUAUUCAGGAUCUAAGCACUCUGUCUCAUCUUGAGCCCGUUUCUUACUCCUUGAUAUUUGAUGUGUUUUCUGCCUGUGUGCAAAUCAGAAAGUUGGUGCUGGUAUUGGAAUUGAGAGUAUCCCUGGUAGGAGGUCACAUUUACUAAGUCCCUACCUACACUAUGCCAAGGAUUCUGUACUUUCUAGUUUCAGAAUGAUCGAAGGAAGCUCCUUACAACGUGCUGUGUUGCCUUGGUGCACUGCCUGUUACACCCACA